rnacentral:rRNA from 1 species
GACAGAGGGUGCGAACGUUGUUCGGAAUUACUGGGCGUAAAGCGCAUGUAGGCGGCAGCGCAAGUCGGGCGUGAAAUCCCACGGCUCAACCGUGGAAGUGCACUCGAAACUGCGCAGCUAGAGUCCUGGAGAGGAAGGGUGGAAUGCUUGGUGUAGAGGUGAAAUUCGUAGAUAUCAAGCGGAACACCGGUGGCGAAGGCGGCCUUCUGGACAGUCGACUGACGCUGAGAGUG